rnacentral:rRNA from 1 species
UACGAAGGGGGCUAGCGUUGUUCGGAAUUACUGGGCGCAAAGCGCGCGCAGGCGGCUAUCCAAGUCAGUGGUGAAAGCCCGGAGCUCAACUCCGGAACUGCCAUUGAAACUGUUUAGCUUGAGGACGAGAGAGGUGAGUGGAAUUCCCAGUGUAGAGGUGAAAUUCGUAGAUAUUGGGAAGAACACCGGUGGCGAAGGCGGCUCACUGGCUCGGUAUCUGACGCUCAGGCGCGACAGCGUGGGGAUCGAAACAGG